GCCUGCUUCGUUUAUUUGGGGCUGAUUGCCUGGGUCAUUUUAGGUUUCAGUCCUGUGGUUGGAGCCGUCCGUCCAAAAGUCACUGCUGUGCUUACACUGCCAACCACCUAAGACUUUUGUUUGUUUGUUUGUUUUUAUUCUUCAUGUGCUCUGGUGGGGGAGGUUUACUGCCAGCAGCAAUGUCCUACUUCCUAAGAUUUUAACAUCACUUCGAGUUAAGGAGGGGAAGUUGAUUUCCAGCUCUUCGGCAGAGGGAUGUGCUGAUGGCUGCCAAUCCGAAGGGUGCUGUACCAUCUGACGAUGCCACCUUCUCAACACGGGAGCUGUUCUCUUUCCUGGCUGUUGCUGCGGCCAGGGAAGAGAGCACAGGAAAUGUGCACCAACUCUGAAACGCUUCUGCCCGGAGGGGACACUCGUGACUUCUGCUCACAUGUCAUUGGCCAGAGGAUGUCACAUGGACAUACCUAACUUCAAGCGGGACAGAGAAGUG
rnacentral:lncRNA from 10 species